rnacentral:rRNA from 1 species
GACGAACGCUGGCGGCGUGCCAAUUCAUGGCAGUUGAGGGGAUAAGAUUGGUGCCUGCCCCCAUUUGAAGAGGCGCGAAAGGGUGGGUUAAGCGUGGGGAAUCUGCCUUUGAGCGGGGGGACACCUUUGGAAAACAAUGCUGAUACCGCCUAACAAAUUUAAACAUAAGUUUUAAGUUUGAAAGAUGCAAUUGCCUUACUCAAAGAUGAUUCCGCGUUGUAUUAGCUAGUUGGUGAGGUAAAGGCCCACCAAGGCGAUGAUACAUUGCCGACCUGAGAGGGUGAUCGGCCACAUUGGGACUGAGACACGGCCCAAACUCCUACGGGAGGCAGCAGUAGGGAAUCUUCGGCAAUGGACGAAAGUCUGACCGAGCAACGCCGCGUGAGUGAAGAAGGGUUUCGGAUCGUAAAACUCUGUUGGUAGAGAAGAACGUUGGUGAGAGUGGAAAGCUCAUCAAGUGACGGUAACUACCCAGAAAGGGACGGCUAACUACGUG